rnacentral:rRNA from 1 species
GACAGCCAGGAUGUUGGCUUAGAAGCAGCCAUCAUUUAAAGAAAGCGUAAUAGCUCACUGGUCGAGUCGGCCUGCGCGGAAGAUGUAACGGGGCUAAACCAUGCACCGAAGCUGCGGCAGCGACACUGUGUGUUGUUGGGUAGGGGAGCGUUCUGUAAGCCUGCGAAGGUGGCUCGUGAGGGUUGCUGGAGGUAUCAGAAGUGCGAAUGCUGACAUAAGUAACGAUAAAGCGGGUGAAAAGCCCGCUCGCCGGAAG